UUGUCGACUUAUGUGCUUGUAUAUGCAUAUACGUUGGUUUGCAUGCUUGAAGCAAAAGGCUUAAAUAGCAAUGAUAAGAUUAAAAUCUUGAUUACGGUAGACUGUAGACCCCGUUUAAACCCUCCAUUACCUAAGAAUUAUAUUGGUAAUUGUGUUAGCUCCUUUGAUGUGGUUGUGGAAGGAGAAGAUCUAAUGAAAGAGAAUGGGGUUGCGUAUGUUGCGAAGAGGCUUACUGAGAUGAUAAAAGGAUUAGAGAAUAGAUCAGUUUUUGAGGGUGCAAAGGAGAGGUUACCAUACAAUGACUGGGAACCAGAUAUUCGACAGGUUCGAGCUGCUGGGACAAACCGAUUUGGGAUGUAUGGGGCAGAUUUUGGAUGGGGGAAGCCAAGCAAUGUGGAGGUUACGACCAUAGAUAGAUUGGAUGCCUUUUCUAUUAUGGAGAGCAAAGACGAAAGUGGUGGAGUUGAAGUUGGUUUAGUCUUGAAGGAGCAUGAAAUGAAACUAUUCGGUUCUCUAUUUGCCAGUGGCCUUCGAAUGUAAACGGUAAUCUUGUGCCUCACUAGGACAUGCCUCUACCAGUUUUUUUUUUUUUUUAAUGUAUGCUGUGCUUUAAUUUCUUGGACUUUUGGAGUUAUUUAUGUAAUGCUAUUUGCUUGUGCUUGUGAAAUUUUGAUUAUCUUUUGCUAAAGCUACGUUUAUAAUAACUUUUUAUAAAUUCUCUUCCAGUAAAUUAUUUCCAUAAAUUCUACCAAAAUUAUAUAUAUAUAUAUCACACAAAUGUUUUUAAAAAUUUACACUACUAAAAAAUGUAUUAAUUAGCAACUGAUUACUCUGUUGUAGAUAAUACUAAAAUCCGUUGCUAAAACAAUUUAGCAACGGAAUCAGCAACGGAAAAAAUCCGAUGCAGAUUUGUCGUUGCUGAUUUUUGAGCAACGGAUUUGUCCGUUGCUGAUUCUGCAGCAACGAAAAAUCCAUUGCUGACAAUCAACAACGGAGUUUCCGUUGCUAAAAUGAGCAACGGAUUUUCCAUUGCUGAUUUGUUAGCAUCGGAAAAAUCCGUUGUUGUUUCACGAAACCAGCAACGGAUUUUCCGUUGCUGAUUGAUGAAUUAUUUACAAUUAGCAACGGAUUCUCCGUUGCUGAAUAUAUUAUUUUUAUUAAAUUAAUUAUUUUUAUUUAUCAAAAUGAAUUUUAAUUUGUUUAAUUAAUUAUUUAUAGAUAUUUUAAAAGUUGUAGCAUAUAUAUAACCAACAUAAAUUAAUAUUAAAAAUAAAUGUAUCACUAAUAAAAAAAUGGAAUAGAAAUAAUAUUCAUAUUAUGAAAAUUUAUUUAAACUUGCAUUAAUACAAAUAAGUCGAAAUACAAUAAAAACAAACAACAAAAGAUACAAUCAUGGUGCUGGUUGCGGAGACGAACCAUGAUACUGUGGAUCGACACAAGAUGAAUCAGGAUAUAGUGGUCGAGGUGUAGGUCGAUAAAUUGGUUGAGAUGUGGGACCUAUAUGUGUCAUUAUCUGGGGAGCCAUAGGUGGUGGCAUUGAUGGGGCCAAAGGUGAUGGCAUACCUUGGCCAAUAUUUGAUGUCCCACCAUGGUAUCCAAGAUUGUUCACAAGAUAUUCUUUCAUGGAAUCCAUCUGCCGUUUCAUUUCAAGAAUAAAAUCUUCUUUUUUCUUUAUCUUCUCUUUUUUAUUCUUUAUCUCCUUUUGUAAUGCCCGAUACGAUGAACUAGGAUAUGAUGACUCCACCGAGUAGGAAUGUGAUGAAGAGCUUGUACUAACUAUAGAUUUUGGCAUACGAGGUGCACCAUAUACCCUACCCUUUGUAACUCCUCCUGAAGCCACACAACAAGCUGCUCCAUCAAAUGAAGGAUGAUUUUCCCGAUUAGUUCCAUACUUUGAAAUCAUCUCUAUUUUAUAAUUUUCCUACAAAUAAAAUACAUGCAAUAAUAAAUUCAUUUGAAUGUUAAAUAAUACUUAAGUUAUAACAAUAAUAAUAAAAAAAUACAUACAACCACUUUUUUAGACUUGUUGUCGAUGAAGUUACCAGACUGCUUAGUACUUUGAUGCAAAGCUGAAAAGACAUCAUCCCAUGGGGGUUCUUUUCCACCAGCUUCCUCUUGCUUUCAAGAUUAAUAAAUAUUAUAAAGGAUAAAUAUAAAAAAUUUAAUUCAUUAUCUUAAGCAAAAAAAAAAAAAAUUCCUUACCAUGUGAGCUCAAUAUGAUGCAAAUGACACUGUUCCUCCAAAAUGAGUGCUUAUUUUGCCAUCUAUUUUGGUUAAUCGAUUCCUCAUAGCAGAUUCCGACCUCCUUUGAAAUUCAGGGGUGGACCAAACAUCUUUGAUCAUUUGAUUCCAUUCAUCAUUGUUUAUCCAAGCAGGACCUUUAUCAAGGCAAUCUAUAAUGUUUGUAGUGUUUCCAUUUGACAUGGCUUUCUUGCGAGCUCGUGUCAAUUGUUGAUUCAAAGCAAUCCUAGCCUUAUCUUCCCAAAUUUUACGAACAAUCGACUCAUCUUCCUCAGGAAAGGAAUAUUUUUUCUACCAAAUAAUAUAUAUAUAUACCAAGUAAAAAGAGUGCACAAAAUUUCAAAGUAUGGAAAUGAUUAAUCAUAUUAUGUUAUCUUGUUCAGAAUUUGCAAGAUUAUGUAAUAACUAAAGAAAUUAAAUGAUAUUAAAGAGUAAAUAAGAAAUAAGAACAAAUUAGAACACAAAUAAGUCCCUACUACAAUACAUGUGUUGGAUAUGAGAAGCAUAUUUAUGGUUAUCUGUAAAUAAAAAAGGAGAGGAAUAUGACAACUCCUUAAUCCAUAUCUUAUUGAUUCAGCAAACUACAUAAAAAACUAAACACCCCACAGAUAAAAGAAAAGGAAUAUAAAGCAAGUGAAUCCUGACAAGAUUUUCAAUUCCACAUGCAGGUUCAAAAAUCAAUACCCCAACACAUAUCAAUAAAGUAGUCUCAAUGAAAGAGCGAAUAUAUUUCCAUUUGAACCCAAACACAAACAAAUUACAAGAAUAUUAUAAACAUAUCAAAGAAAAGAAUAUGGCAAUUAAUGAUGGUUCUUACCUUAAACUCCUUAAAGAGCUCAUCCCUGCACAUUGAAUCUACUUUUUCCCAAGAAUGCCAUGCUCCCUUAAAAUUAGACCUCAAAAUAUCUCUGAUUGCACGUCCACACAAUGCGUUAUUGAACCUGAAAAAAUAUAAUAACAAACUUUUAUUAAACAAAUAAUUACAUAAUAAUAAGUAAUGUUUUUUCAAACCUGAAAAUAUAACCUUAAUAAGUUAGUUUUUAAAAGUUUCAACUUACUCUGUUGUUCCAUAUAAACAAAGCUCUUUUUUUCUUGUCAUUGGAUCUAUUUGUGUGUCAAAACCCUUCCUUUUAACACUUCGAUCAUAAUUGUAUGCAGAACAGGUUGAACCGUGGUUUGAUGGGACGCCAUAAUGAUCCUCAUCAUAUACACCUCUCUCAUUACUACCAGCUCUCUCAUCACAUGCACCUCUAUAAUUACUACUGUCUCCCUCAUCUUCAUCUCUAAUAUUCGCAUCAUCAUCAGUAUCACCAUCAUCACCCUCAACUCUCUCAUAACUCCUAUAUGCAUUAUGUCCUCCAUAAACAAGUUGGUUGUCUCGAGAGAAACCUCCUUGAGUUUGAAGCAAAUCUUGGAAGCGAAAGCCCUCACAAAGUUGAUAUGCAUCAACCCUCCCAUAAUCAUGUUGAGGAUGAUGUGUACUCCUCAAAGUAGGUAUAUAAUACUCCUUCAAGUUCUAAUACACAGGUUGUUGAAACGUGGCUCCUUUGUUAUUACGCCUUGAUGGAGUUUGAAAUGAUUUGGAUGAAGUGGACCUGUCACUCCUUGAAGUGGACCUGUCACUCCUAGAAUCUAAUAUGGAUCCUCAUCAAGGCAUGCUAAAAACUAGAAAAAAUAUAUGCAUUACUGUCAAUAAUUAUUGAGUUGAGAAAAUAUAAAACCAACCAAACUGCACAAUUAUAUCAAAGAAGGAAUGCAAAAUUGUUUCCUUUGUUCUUCAUACAGGUCAUAUAUAUCAUUGAAGAAUCAGGCAUGGAUAGAAGCUAAGCAUAAAAAUAAAAACAUCAUAAAUUAAUUAGUGGUGAUUAAUUAAUUAAUCACCUCAAAUUUAUGUGCAAAUGUAUACUUGUCAGGCAGCAAUAGAGCACCUCAAUAAUCAUGGAAUUAAAUGGUAGUGAUCAAAGCAUGAUGAGAUUGGAGCUGGCAAUGAUGUCCUUAACACGUGAUUCCAUUACCUUUAUUUCACUAGUCAACGUAUUAGAUAUUUGGAUUGGCUGAUGGCCAUAGCUUUAGACUUAAGCAAAUCACCAUAUUGGUCAUUGUCAGUGCUUAAUGCCUAACCGAAUAUUAUUAGAUCUAAGCAUUAUCCCUUUUAAGUUUUAAGUAUGAUGCUGGAAAGGUGAAUGAGCAAAUAAAAUAGUCUCAUCAUUACACACUUCUUACUAAUUUUCAGAAAGACUGAGGGAGGAAUAAUGAGUACAGUUCAGCUAUUGGAUCCUUUGAUACAGAAUUUGGAUAAGAAAUACCCUGUUUCUAUAUUGGCCUCUCUUUUAAAUUCUAAGAAGUGUAGGAAACAAAUGAUUGCUGCUGGUGUUAGUGUGCACUUGAAGAAACUUAUGGAGAUGGAUGUUGAAGGAUCUUAGAAGCUCUUGGAUGGUCUGGGGCGGGGUAAGAUUUGGGGUGUUUUUGCCAGGCCCUAGCAUGGACUUAAUUCUUCCAUGUGCUUGGAACUUGAAUCUGAGGAUGGCUUGUUAAUCUGCAUGUACAUUGUUUGUGUUUGCUUUUACUCUUGUUUUGUGUUUGCUUUUUUUUUUUUUUCCAUAUGUUUGUUAAGUUGCUUUAGGACUAAACAAUUUUAGCUUAGUUUCCGCUGGAAAACCUCUUCUUUUUAGAGAUGAGAUCAUGGUUUGUUGACCUAAAUACACUGGAUUUCAUGUUCUUUAUGCGAAACUGAAUAAUAGUAGUGUUUGUAAUGUGUUUGAGAUCACACUUAUGAUAUACAGUACUUAUUGAAAAUGUUGUUUUCUCAUGACAGCUAAAUGCAAAUAAUAACCAAGGCAGGGUUAAUUGUUGAAGUUUUUAAUCUUGUGUUUGAUUGUGUUUAUUUGAUGAUUUGUAGGUUGAUUGUUGAUUUGGGUAGUAGGAGAAAAAGGUUUGCACAGAAGGUUGAAGAAUGGAGAGAGUUGCAGAAAAAGGUAAUUCUUGUAUAUAUUUUCCACACACAACAUGCUUGACAAAAUGCCCCUUAUAAACUGAUUUGGGGAGAACACACGUAUUGUGUGAUCUUUUACAGCCUUUAACAGCUAGGCCUACAGAAAAGUAUUUAAUUAUUUUUUUCUUUUCUUAGUUAGUUACAAAUAACUGAAAUGCAACUAACUAAUCAUUACAUAACAACUUUCUUCAGCUUCUUCUUUUUCCUCCUUCUUUACUGUCAACUUUUCCCUUCAAUCUUCUGCAUUUGCUUAUUUGUAAAUCCAGCUCAACAACUUAAUUACCAACAGCCUCUCCUAAGUUGCUGACUGGUUUAACCCCAAGAGUCAGUCUUAGAUAGUUGAAUCUGUCUUUAGGUAGAGCCUUGGUGAAUAUAUCAGCCAACUGGUCCUCACCCCUACAGAAUUGCAUGUUGAUCAACCCUUCUUUCAAAGAUUCCCUGAUAAAGUGAUAUCUCCUGUUUAUGUGUCUUGUUUUCUGAUGGAAAACAGGAUUUUUGGCCAUCGAUAUUGCUGACAUGUUGUCACAAUACAAUGGAGUUGCCUCAGCCUGCAUCUCUCCAAAAUCUUCAAGCACAAACCUAAGCCAAAUGGCUUGUGUCGUGGCUUCAGAAGCUGAGACAUACUCAGCUUCUGCUGUUGACAGAGCCACUGUGCUCUGUUUUACAGAAGCCCAAGAGAACACACCACUUCCAAAGCUAAAAGCAUAGCCUGAGGUACUCCUGCUAUCAUCCUCACUGCCCCCCCAAUCAGCAUCACAAUAACCGAUUAGAGUAGCUGAUUUGCCUCUUGUGUACUCAAUCCCAUAGUCUAGGGUACCUUGAACAUAUCUCAAUACCCUUCUAGCAAUCCCUAUAUGUUUCUUUGUAGGGCAACUCAUGAAUCUUGAUAGUAAGCUUGCUGAAUACAUUAGGUCUGGCCUUGUUGCUGUCAAAUACAGCAAGCUUCCCACUAUCCUUCUAUAUAACCCUUCAUCUGCAGGUUCACUGCCAUCCUCCUUCUUUAAUUUUUCACCCACGGUUAGAGGAAUUGCAACUGGAUUGCAGUCCUCAAGUCCGAACUUAGUAAGUAGAGACUUAGCAUACUUACUUUGGUGAAUAAAAACUCCUUGAUUGGUCUGCAAUACACCAAUCCCUAGAAAGUGAUGAAGAAGCCCUAGGUCUGACAUUUCAUACCUCUGCAUCAUCUCCCUCUUAAACUCAGUCAUCAUCCUUUCACUACUUCCAGUAUACACUAUAUCAUCAACAUAUAUUGAGAUAAUGAUCUGGCCUCCUUCACUAUCACUUCUGGUGUACAAAGUUGCUUCACUUGCACUCCUUUCAAAUUUGCAACUUGUAAGAUAAGCAUCGAUUUCACUAUACCAGGCUCUAGGGGCUUGUUUAAGUCCAUAUAGAGCCUUGUAUAGUUUAUACACCUUGUGGCUGGACCCCUUCACUUCAAACCCCUCGGGUUGCUCCACAUACACCUCCUCGUCAAGCAUUCCAUUUAGAAAUGCUGACUUAACAUCUAGUUGGAAUAAUUUCCAACCCUUUUGAGCUGCCAACGCAAUGAGAGUCCUUAUAGUAUCCAACCUUGCUACUGGAGCAAAAGUCUCAUUGUAAUCCACCCCUGGUUUUUGAGCAUAUCCCUUGGCUACAAGUCUAGCCUUAUGCUUGUGUAUGGACCCAUCAAGAUUGAGCUUUGUCUUGAAGACCCAUUUCACACCUAUCACAGGCGCAUCAGAAGGUCUGUCAAUCAGCUCCCAGGUAUGAUUCUUUUCUAUCAUCUCUAAUUCAGUUCUCAUUGCAUCCUGCCAGUCUUUACUCUUUGCUGCUUCCUGAUAAUUUUCUGGUUCAAUGAAGCUCAUGUGACAUCUAUUAUAAAUGUCUUCAAUGCUCCUUAACUUCACUGGAGUUGAACUAGGUGAUGAUCCUUGACUGAUAUUCUCAACUGAUUCUGUCACUGAACCAUUUGCAGGUGAGCUUAACUGAUCAAUGCCAUCAUAAUUCUGUGCAACAUCUACAUUUGUUUCUUCUACUUCACUCUCUUCUUUGUUGCAUUCAAACCUUAGUUGCUGUGUGACUGAUUCCAUGUGAUUUUCAGUCCAAUUCCAGAACCUGCUCUCAUCAAAAACAACACUUCUUGACAGCACUAUCUUCUUUGAAUCCAGAAUAUACACCCGAUAUCCUUUCUCACAACUUCCAUAACCCAUAAACACUCCCUUCUCUGCCUUACUGUCCAGUUUCUGUCUUAGUGCUGCUGGAAUGAGUGUGUAACAUACACACCCAAACACCCUUAAGUGUUUAAUUCCAGGCUUCCUUCCCGUGAAGGCUUCAAAUGGUGUCUUACCCUCCACAGCUGAUGUAACACACCUAUUUUGAAGAUACACAGCAGUAUUCACUGCCUCUCCCCAGAAUUCAGUGGGUAUUCCUUUCUCAAUCAACAUUGAUCUUGCCAUUUCUCCUAUGGUCCUAUUUCUCCUCUCAGCCACUCCAUUCUGCUGAGGAGAAUAGGCUACUGUGAGCUGCCUCUCCACACCCAGACUUGCACAAUAAUUCUGAAAUUCAUAGGAGGUAUAUUCUCCUCCUCUAUCACUUCUCAAUUUUUUUAGAGAGUAGCCACUUUGUGUCUCAACAAGUAUUUUAAAUUUCUUGAAAACACUUAAUGUGUCAGAUUUAUUUCGGAGGAAAUAUACCCAACACAUUCUAGAGUAGUCAUCAAUAAAGGUAAGAAAGUACCUAUUCCCACCAAUUGAUUCUGCCUGCAUUGGUCCACAGAGGUCAGUAUGCACAAGUUCCAGUGGAUGUUUGGCUCUCCAUGCUUCCCCUUGAUUAAAUUUCUCUCGGUGAUGCUUCCCUUUUACACAGCCUUCACACACAUUCCUUGAAUCUGCUAUCACAGGUAAGCCAUACACAAUCUCUUCCUGUUUCAUCUUCUUCAUACUUGCAAAAUUUAAAUGGCCAAGCCUUCUAUGCCAUGUCCAAAAAUCUUCAUUAACUGAUGCUUUCAUAGCUGCAGGAGUUAAAGAUUCCAGUGCAAGGGGAAAACAUCUAUUCCCCUUCAUUAUUACUUUUGCAAGCACAUUCUCUAGUUUCUCAUCAUCAAAUAUUACUGCCUUGUUGCCCCCAAACAAGAUGUAGUAACCAUGUUCCAUCAUUUGACCUACACUAAGUAGAUUCUCAUCCAAACCUGGGACUAGCAGCACCUCAUUUAUGUAUCUUCUGCCCUUUUUGGUUUCAACAACUAAUGUUCCUUUUCCAGUGGAUUGAACCAAAUCUCCUGAACCCAUUUUCACCUUGCAAGUGAUACUUCUAUCAACAUCAAUUAAAUUCUCCUCUUGAGAGGUCAUAUGAUUACUACAUGCACUAUCAAUGAACCACACAUCUUCAUUCUUUAUGCUGGCAGCAUGACAUGCAUAAAAUAUAGUGCUUGUGCACACAUCUUCCUCCUUUGCACUAUUAGCUAGCUGCUUGUUGCUGUCACAGUCUUUGGAAUAAUGUCCAAACCGACUGCAUUUCCCACACUUAGGCUUCCCCUUAUAUCUACAUAUUCCGAAAUGAAAUUUUUGACAUACAGAACAUUGAGGCUUUGUGUUUGUUUGAUUACCUCCACCUCUGUGCUGUGAACUGCUGCUGCUACUUCCAGUUCUGUUAUUCCAGUUUGUGUUGUGACUGAAAUUUUGAUGAUUAUUCACAUUUCUUCCUUGAGACCAGCCCACAUGCCUUUGAUCAUGUCCUUGCCAUCUUGGACUAGAUCUCCCCUGCAUAGCCUUGUUUGCAGCAUGAUUAUAGCCCAUUUUGAGACUACUAAAUGCCUUUUCAGUCCUUGUAAUCUUAUCUUGUUCAUCAUGCAGGUCUUCCCUCUUGUCAAAUACUUUGACAGAGGCUAUAACUUCUUCCACCUUCAGCACAUCAAGGUCCCUUGUCUCUUCAAUGAUAGAGACAAUGGACUUGUAUCUCCUAUUUAAAUUCAUUAGGAGCUUCUGCACAAUCCUAAUCUCAGGUACAUCUUCUCCUAGAGAUUUCAGACUGUUUAUAGCUUCAAAAAACUUAGAAAGAUAGUGUUCUAAGCCUUCUCCUUCUGACAUUCUCAUGUAUUCAAACUCUGCCCUCACAGCUUGCAAUUUCACAUACCUCACUUUCUUAUCACCUCUAUACUCUCUUUUCAGCACAUUCCAUGCUCCUUGUGCAGUAUUCUCAUUCCUUAUUCUAGGAAAAAGUUCAUCAGUCAAGGCUCCUUGUAUGAGGCUCAAUGCCUUGGCAUUUCUUAUUUUUUUUUCUCUGAAAACAGCUUCUUCAACUAUGCUGCUCUUAGUUUCACCAUCUUUGCUCUCGGUUUCAUCAUUCUUCUUAUCUUCUUUCUCAGAUUCUUCUUCUUUCACACUUGAACCUGAUUUCAUGCCAAACUCAACUACAUCCCAUAGAUCAAAUGCUAUGAGGAUUGUCUCCAUCUUCACUGCCCAAAAGUCAUAGUUCACACCGUUGAACUGAGGUGUUCGUAAAUCUCCACUGGACACCAUCUUUUCUGGAAUUUUGUGUUUUCAGUCCCUUGUUGAUCAAGUUACUGCUCUGAUACCAUGUUGAAGUUUUUAAUCUUGUGUUUGAUUGUGUUUAUUUGAUGAUUUGUAGGUUGAUUGUUGAUUUGGGUAGUAGGAGAAAAAGGUUUGCACAGAAGGUUGAAGAAUGGAGAGAGUUGCAGAAAAAGGUAAUUCUUGUAUAUAUUUUCCACACACAACAUGCUUGACAAAAUGCCCCUUAUAAACUGAUUUGGGGAGAACACACGUAUUGUGUGAUCUUUUACAGCCUUUAACAGCUAGGCCUACAGAAAAGUAUUUAAUUAUUUUUUUCUUUUCUUAGUUAAAAUAACUGAAAUGCAACUAACUAAUCAUUACAUAACAACUUUCUUCAGCUUCUUCUUUUUCCUCCUUCUUUACUGUCAACUUUUCCUUUCAAUCUUCUGCAUUUGCUUAUUUGUAAAUCCAGCUCAGCAACUUAAUUACCAACAUUAAUUGUAUUGAUUGUGCAAAGGCAGUACCUUUCAGUCUCUCUCUGAGUUGUCUGAUAGGUGAAAUGGUUAUUUUAUUAUCUUAAUAGAAAAUUGGAUAUUUCACUAAAUUCAGAUCCUGGUGAGAAGGGACUGCAUUUUCCAUAUAAUAUCCUGGUGAGUGCCUGCGGUUUUCUUAACUGAAGAUUGUUAUCGAGUUCCUUGUUUUAUAAGGAGUUUAGAAGAGAUGCUAUUUGACAUUCAUUUCUACUCCUUCAGGCAGGUUAAUUUUGCUAGUGUUUGUUGGGUCCCAUAUUCUUAAAACUUCUGCAGUUAUGGUCAAGCAUAAAAAUGUUGCCAGAACAAAUCUUGAAGUUUUUGACAUAGAAAAUUAUAUUAUGAACAUUAAUCCAUGUAUUCUCAAUUUUGACUUUUACCUCCUUGUAUUUUAAUAAUAUACAUGAAUACAGUAAAUGCAAUAUAUGUUACUGAAUGUUUAGAGUAAUUUUAAACUUAUCUUUAUUGCAAGCAGCAUAAAGCACUAAAAAAUCUUAGAGGAAGACCAUCAACUAUAAAACUCAAAAUGAAGUACCUGCUUGUCUAUCUGCACCGACAAUAGGAGGAUUAUAUUAGGGAAGCCGAAACGAGCCUCUAAGCAGGAACAAAUAUUCUUACUUCUUUGGAUAUGUACUGCCUGUAAGCCUGUAAGCAGGAACUACCAGUUUAUUAGAAAUGGCUUCGAAGUUCAAUGAAAAUGAUAUAUGUAAUCUGAAUCAUAAUACAAACUUGAAUAAAAUAGCAAAUAAAUAACAUUGAAAGCCUAAACUUGUCAAGUAAUAUGAGAAAAUAAUAUGAAAUCAUCCAUACAUAUAAUAAAGAUAAUUCAUUACAUAUACUACAAAAUAUAAUUAACUAGUGCUACUCAUUAUUAUCAUCACUCCUAACCAUGUCAUCAUCAUCACACAAAACCAUGUCGUCGUCACCACCACCACCACCACCACCACCAUCAUCUUCUUCUUCUUCUUCUUCCGCAACCCUCUCAUCUUCUUUUCCCCAAUUUACGUCAAGCUGAAGCAAUUCAUGUUGACUAAUUUCUUCAUAAUAAGAUGAUUCAACAAGUAUAUUUGGAUCAUCAAGUGUUUGAGUAGGAAGGACACAAUAUGGUUGUGAAAUCUCAUCCGAUUGAUCAACGUCAAAUGUUCUCACAUUGUUUUCAUCUUCAAUAAAUUCACCCAUGUCAAUAUUAUAACGACUUCUAGCAGUUGUUUUAAUAACCGUCCACCAUUUAGAGGAUUUAUUAUCAGGUGGAUAUGUAUAGUAGACUUGUUGACAUUGUUGUGCUAACACAAAAUCUUCAUUUCCAUAUAGUCGAGAUGUAUGCUUGAUUUCAACCAAACCAUUCGAACGAUGCACUCUAAUCCCUCGUUUUGUAUCAUACCAAUUACAUUUAAACAAAAAUAACUUGCACUUGCUCCCCAAAUAUUUUAGCCGAACAACUUCUUUAAGCAUUCCAUAAUAAUCACGUUCAUUAUCAUCAUAACAACUUCCUUUCACACAAACUCCACUAUUCAUUGUCUUUUUAAAACGACCAUAACUUUGAGUAUGAAAUUUAAAACCAUUCACAUAAUACUCAUUAUAACAUUUCACUGAAGUUGAAGGGCCCAUAGCAAGUCCAAAGAGUUGAUUUUCAAUUCCGUUAGAUUGGUAUUCCACCUAGCAUAAUAAUUAACUCCAUAAGAAAUAUUGUUUUAAAAGAGAUUAAUAAUUUUUUUAAAGUAACUAAUUGACAUAAAUAUAAAUUAAUUUUAUGAAAAUACUUACAUUAUUUUUUAACCAAGAUGGAAAGAUCUCUUCGCAUAAUUUUUCAAUUUCAACAUCACUCGCAUGUGGUUGUUGUGACUUUAACUCUUGACGACAUUGCCUAAAAUUUUAAAAUGUUAAAGUUAAUAAUAAAUUAUCAUAAAUUAAGUACAAAAUAAUAUUUCAUACUUACUCUAAAUAAGGCUUCAAUUCUUGACAAUUGAAUAUCACAUAGCUAUGCGCAAUUUGCAUUUCAGCAUGUGACAACUGUCUUCUAUAAAAUCUUUUGGAUAAUUUUUUCCCUGGAUAGGAAAAAAUAGAGAGAUAUCCAUCUUGACUUUUAAGGCCACCAUCAUCAUUUCGUGGAACUCGAUUCCAAAUUGUUUGCAUGUCAUCACCAAAAUAAUGAGAUGCAAAAUUGGUAAUUUCAUCAAUCAAGUAUGCUUCACAUAUGGAACCCUCAACUUUAGCUUUAUUGGUCACUUUCUUCUUCAAAUAAAACAUAUACCUAUAUCAUUUUUGUCAGUUAGUUUAUUUUUUAAAAUAAAAAGGGAAUAAAAUUAACAUAGUAUCAAAACAUACCAUUCAAAUGGAUACAUCCAUUGAUAUUGAACAGGUCCACCAACUUUUUCCUCAUAAGGUAGAUGUAUCGUCAAGUGUUCCAUGUGUUGGACAUUUAAAUUUGUAGUACAGAUAUCUCGAAAAAAUACGGACAGUUCAGUUAAUGCCUCCCACAGUGGCCUAGGUAAGUAAGGUCGGAAAACAGUUGGAAGAAGUCUUUGAAUGAAGACAUGACAAUCAUGACUCUUCAUCCCCGAAACCUUACAUCGUGCCUCUUUCACACAUCGUGAAAUGUUUGAAGCAUAACCAUCAGGAAAUGAUAAUUCCUUCAUCCAUGACAAAACUUCUUGUUGUUGUUUCUUGUGUAGAUAAUAAGUGCCUUUAGGUUUGUAAACCCGACCACUCGUAUCUUGUUGCAAAUGUAAAUUUGGCUUCUUACAAUACAACUGAAUAUCCAACCUAGCUAGCCUUUAAAUUAUCCUUGCUUCUAUUAGGACAAUCCAUUACUGUAUAAAAAAUAUUGUCAAAGAAGUUUUUCUCAAUAUGCAUGACAUCAAGAUUAUGACGAAUCAAAUUUGUAUGCCAAUAUGGAAGCUCCCAGAAAAUGCUCUUCUUCACCCAAUUGUGUUCAACACCGAAGCCAGGAAUUUUAGCAUUAUGUGAGGAACUUCCAUUAUGUCCCUCAAUAAACUUGGACACUUUGUUUAACAUUUCCAAACCAGAUGCACGAGGUAAAGGAGGGAGCCUUUCAAUUACUCCUUUCAAAAACUUAUCUGAUUGACAUCUAUAUGGGUGGUUCAUAGGUAGGAAUCGUCGAUGACAAUAAAAAAAGGUAGUUUUUCCUCAAUUUGUUAAUCUAAAGGCUUUGCUAUGCUCCAUACAAUAAGGACAAGACAGAUUUCCAUGAGUACUCCAACCCAAUAACAUGCCAUAUGCUGGAAAGUCACUAAUGGUCCACAUCAAAACUGCCCAUAGUUGAAAAGUUUCCUUUCUAUAUACAUCAUAUGUUUCAACACCAACAAACCAUAAAUUAUUUAACUCAUCAAUCAAAGGUCUUAGAAAAACAUCAAGCUUUUUCCCUGGAUUCUUUAGCCCAGGAAUUAUCAUUGACAAAAACAUGAAUGGUCUAGUCAUGCACUUCCACGGAGGCAAAUUAUAAACAGUCACAAUUACUUGCCAACAAGAGUAUGUAUUUGAAGACAUGUCAAAUGGACAAAACCCAUCAGUGCAUAACCCUAACCGAAUAUUUCUUGGAUCUGACGCAAAGCUUAAGUGGACACGAUUAAACUCCUUCCAUAACCUCAUUAUCUGACUUGUGAAAAUGAUGCCAUGUCAUAUGUUUGGCAUGAUAUGGAGACAUGAAUAGUCUCUGAAGCCUUGGUGUCAAGGGAAAGUAUCGGAGUUGCUUCUCCGCCUUAUUGGAACCUUUACUAGUCGGAUUUAUAGGUUUGUAUCGUGACCUUCCACAAAAAUUACAAUUUAUUUUCAUUGCAUCUGCCCCAUAGUACAACAUGCAAUAAUUAGGACACACAUCAUAUUUCUCAUAACCAAGUCCAAGUGGCCGCAUAAAUUUCUUGGCAUCAUAAAAAUUGGAUACCAAAUUUUCAUCAUUAGGCAUGCAACUUUUUGUAAAAUCAAUAAAUUUGUUAAAGGCUGUCUGAGUCAAAUUUAAAGUUGACUUCAUAUUAAGCAAUUGUACACAAGCAGAUAAUUUGGAUUGCUUGGUACACCCAUCCCACAAAGGCUCCUCCGCAACUUUCAAAAGUUUUAAAAAAUUAGUUGCCUCCGGAUUUGAAAGUUCCUCUGCUACCACAGGACUAGACACAUGUGCAUCACCAACCCCCAUUGCAUCCAUAACCAGAUUCCUAUAUGGAUUUUCUAGACAAACAUCAUUCACAACAUGACUAAUUCCAACCGAUGAAGGUCCAACCAAUAUUGGUUCUGCGACAUAAGGCUCCCCAUGUACAGUCCAAUUUUCAUAACAAGGUAAAAAACCUUUUGUCAAUAGGUGCUUACAAACAUCAUCUUCCUUUAAAAACUUUUGAUUUUUGCACCUCACACAAGGACAUCUAAUUUUUCCCCCAGAUAUAUUUUUAUCAAUUGAAAACGCAUUAAUCUAAUUAACAUGAUAACACCAAUAAGCAUUUUAGAAAUAAGCAUACUUCCUUAACAACUAGUACUUAAACAAUCAGUUAAAAUGAAAUAUGUAACACAUAAACAAACUUUAAUAUUUAAAUUUGAUUUACCACAUUAAUCUAUCUUGAAAUUAAUAUUAAAAAUAAUAUACUAACAAUAUUCAUAGUAACACAAACUUUAUUUCUUUUCAUGUGUUUCCUUCUUUUAUUCGAGAAACCCUUGGCAAUACUAUAUCUUUGUAUGCUUAGCAUCAAUUUUCAUCGAGAUAUCUUUAUUUCUUAUAAAAUAUAUUACUAUUUUUUUCCUUUUCUUUUUUCUUUCUUUCAUUUUUUUUGGUUUUUUAUUGAUCUCUCUCUCUCUCUCUCUCUCUCUCUCUCUCUCUCUCUCUCUCUCUCUCUCUCUCUCUCUCUCUCUCUCUCUUUGGGGUUUUGCUAAGCCAAUUAUACAUGGAAAAUAGAGUUUUUUUUUUUUUAAUAAUGUGGAUUAUAAUUGAUUGAAUGACUAUAAAUUCAAAAUAAUUUUUAUAACAAAAAAUAUUUCUAAAUUAAAAGAAAAAUAGUUUCAACAUUUGAUUUCAAUAGCAUUCUUCCUUUUUGGGUUCCAUACUUGUUCAUUAUGUGUAACUUUCAAGUUUUGUGGCUAUGAGUGUCAAUGCUGCUGCUAUAGAGUCAUUUAAACGUGAUGAUCAAUACCAAAAUAUGAUGGGGAUGGUGCUACACUAGUUAUAGAUCCUGUCACUGCUACAAAAUAUGGUAUUGAAGUUUCACAAGAUUCUCUCGCUACUUGCUGGGAAUGCAGCCAAAAGAUUAUUAUUGGAGAUGUGGUUUCUUAUGUAUCUAUCUUUAUUCUCUAGAGAUCAUUUUUAAACAUCAUAUUUCUUUAUGUGUGGCGAACCAGAUUCAUAAAGUCAUGCAUUAUACACAUAAAUCAAACAUUUUUCAUCUGGACUGAGAACAAUAAUAUGCUAACAGUCUUGGCAACCUAUAUAUACUAGUUGAAGGACUUAAUCCUAAUUCAUAUAGGAAAAGGACUUGUUGAAGUCGCAUGCUAACUGUAAAUCCAAAUAGCAUAAGGAUUCUUAAACUAAAAAGAAGCAAAGGCAGUAGGGAAACUAAAAGGAACAAUUUCUGAUACAUGAACUGUAAACAUUUUUUUUUUGUUGAGACUUGUGAAUUUUACUUAAUAUGGGUUGAUUCUGCAGGAAGAACACAAGGGAAAAAAAAAAGGCAUUGAGUGAUUAUGUUAUUGACAAGAUCGAUAAGGGUAGUUGCUCUACCAAUUUAGGUUUGAUCGAAACAUUAUAACUGCCACAGAAGAUUAUCUUGCUCAAUUUACUCAUGCCUUUUCGUGUUUGCUUAACUACAGAUAUUGCAGACAUGGCAGAUAAGGGUUGCAAUAAUGGUGGACUGGAUUACAAACUUUUUCUGCUGAGUAAGGCAUGGUAAAACUGCUUUCACUUGCGGGUUUUUUUUUUGUCUGUCUCCCAUAUGUUCUUUAUUAUGGAUGGUUAGAUUUUAAUGUUUUGGUUGAUGUGGGGGGAUUCUGCUUUUGUAUUACUACUAAUCAGGGGGUAAAUGAAAUUAAGUGUACCAUUAAUUUGCUUUUAUUUAGAUUUGUUGCAAUGAUAUCAAUGCUUGUCCCUAUGGUUCAUCUAAUUUAAUCUUUAGCAUGGCAAAGCAAAUUGACAGUUGAAGUUUCCUUGUGUGCCUAGUUACUCCCAUUCACUUCUGCUUUAUAAUAUUCUUACACUGGCUUGUAUUUUUUAAGAGUGUGUUUUGCAUUCUUUUGCUUUUAUUGUAGAUCUUUUGUAAGUUGAGAGUUGUUUAUACUACUUUUCUUUUCCAUUGUUUUGAAAUGUAUAAUUUUCUGAACUCAACAUUUUGGUCUUUCUACCCUAUGAAGCUUUCAAUAAUUAUUUUAAACCAUAAUUUGAGCUAUAACAUUGGUUCUACAAGUUUGAAUCUAUCUGGAUUUUUCAAUAGUUAAGCAUGUAGUUUAACUUGAAACUCUCUUCAUCCUAUCUUCUUUUUAGCUAAAGCAUGGACCAACUAUGAUGAUUAUGACAUUGCUGGCUCUGCUGUUGUUACACAACUUUUCCUUUAUGUUAUGAUAUUCAAUCUCAUGAUAGUCAUUUAAUUUUGUUCCUGUCUUUUGAUAUUCAAAUCUCCCUAACAAAGUUAAUCAUCUUUACAAGAUCAAUAUGUUUGGUCAAUAAUAACUCUGUCUAGAGCAACAUGUUAACUGUUUCACCAUUCAUGCUAUUCUUAUUGAAGUCUUGGUUGGUAUUUGCCAGGCCAAGUGUAAAGGAUCAAUUUAAUUAAAGAGAUGGAUGGUCAAAUAAUUAUGGUUUUGAUAAUGUUGAAAAUGUACCACACAACUCAAAUGAGAACAAGGAAAAGAAAUCCACAAUUUAUAAUGCCUAGGUAACAGAAUUAAAAUCCUAAAACAUAAAAGAAAAAUAACAUAAAAUAGAUUUGCACUGACUACAGUUCAUAAACCCUUAUUUUAUCGACUGAAUAGCCUAAAACCAUUAAUCAAAGUAGCGAUCAAAUUUUUUUUGUUACCUGUGUUCUUGAGUUCUGGGCGAGCAAGAUGAAAUCUACAUGACAAAAGAACACUUGAGAUUGUGAAAGUUAGGUAAAAACUUUUAAGUGUAAGUUUAAUUGCAACAAAUAAACAAAUAAUUCCUAAAAUUAAUUACCUAAAUUAUUGAAGAACAGAAUGCAAAACCCAACCCAUAUACAAAGAGUGGGGGUAAAUCAGGAUGUUCGAUGGUGAUAAUGAUGGGUAUAGUGGGAUGUUGCCAUGGGUUUGUGUUUUUGGUGGUUUACGAAGAAAGAUUGAAUCUGUUAGGGAUGUUGGAGACGAAUGAGAAGAAGAUAAAGAGAAAUGUUAGAGACAAAGGAAGAUUAGAUCGAUGAAGAGAGAGUGCUAAGUUAAUUGUUUUUCUACUGUUAUGGAUGUUAUUAUCAGGGGACGAAGGGGAUGAAGAGAUUCACUGCAAGUUAAUUAGCAUUUUCUGGGUUCUUUGUUUAUUUGCUCUGUUUACGUUUCUGAAGGGGAGAGAGUGUAAGUUUAGGAUUGCUAAUUAACGGUUGAGAUUGUAAAAGUAAAAUACCUCAUCAACGGUCUGUGUAAUUUUAGCUUUAUAUUAAAAUUUAAAUAUUUAUUUUUUUAAUCAGAAACGGAUAGUCCGUUGCAGAUUUUAUGUUGUCUUUAGCAACGGGUUUUCCGUUGCUAAAACCUGUUGCUAAUAUUAAAAAAAUAAUAAAUAUGCAAUUUGUUGCUCAAUUUAGCAACGAAAUUAUCCGUUGCUAAAAUCAGAUGCUAAUAGUCCCCUUUUUUAGUAGUGUUAAACCGGUAGAAGUUGAGGGAUGCUCAAAUGGCAAGGGGGUCUUCCCCUCAAUUAAGUUCCGUGGAGAGAUUGCCUUUAUGUGAAUUACUAUGAUUGUUAAUAAGAGCUACCAUUUCUUUGUAUUUAUACUUUUAGGGUUGUGUACAAUACAAGGGUGAAAUAUACUAAGCAUGAUAACUAUUUCUAUUUAAGGUAUUUACAUAUAUAUAAGUCUCUUUCCUUAAUAAACUCCGUCAAACUGAAGGUGGAGAUUCCACCCGAAACUUGGAACGAAAAUAAGCAAACGAGACUGGAGGGAGAGGCUUGGCAAGGACAUCAACUAGUUGGUCCUUGGAAGAAAUGAAUUGUACCUGAAUUUCUUACUUAGCAAUGUGAUCAUGAACAAAGUGAUAAUCAACUUCAACAUGUUUAGUAUAGGCGAGAAACACUAGAUUGGCAGAAAAGAAAGUGGCUCCUAAAUUAUCACACCAUAACGUAGUCAUGGACGAAGAUGAAAGCCGAAGUUCUAACAAUAAAGAGCAAAUCCACAAGAUUUCAGCAGUAUCGUCAGCUAAGGCUUUGUAUUCUACUUAUGUAGAAGACUUGGCAACAGUGCUUUGUUUCUCGGAUUUCUAUGAAAUAUGGGUAAAACCAAGAUACACAAGAUAACCAUCUAUUGAUUUUCGAUCAUCAAUACUGCCAGUCCAAUCAGCAUUUGUGAAACCAUGAAGGGACAAGGAGGAAUCUUGAGUAAUGUGUAGACCAUAAGAGGCUGUAGCCUAGAGGUAACGCAGGAUAUGUUUAACGAUAGCUAAAUGAUCCUCAGUAGGAGCAUGCAUAAACUGACAUACGUUAUUGACUGCAUAACAAAUAUCAGGUCUAGUGAAAGUAAGAUAUUGUAUAGCCUUAAUAAUCUGUCUAUAGCGUGUCGGAUCAGAGUGAAGAGUACCAGACAUAAUUCUUAAUUUGAACGAGGUAGACGAAUGAGCAUUAACCGGUUUGCAAGAAGCCAUACCUACUCGUUGGAUGAUAUCUAGUGCAUACUUGGGUUGACUGAGUAAGAGACCCAUAGCAGUAGAUUUAACUUCAAUGCCCAAGAAGAAAUGAACAAAACCUAAGUCUCAAACCUUAAAUUCUAAUUGCAGCAAAGUAAUAAAUCGGUGAAGCAAGGUUGAGUUACUCCCGGUCAAUAGAAUAUCAUCAACAUACACAAGCAAAUAAAUCAUAGCACCACCGAAAGAAAGAAUAAAAAGAGAAGUAUUAACCUUGGAUGCCUGAAAUCCAAUGGAAAUUAGAAACUCUCUUCACCAGUUGUACCAUGUUCGAGGUGCUUGUUCCAAGCCAUACAAGGAUUUAUGAAGACGACACACAUGAGACGGAAGUGUAGGGUCAAUAAAACCAUGUGGUUCUGCUAUGUACACCUCUUCUUGAAUAAUGCCAUUCAAGAAAGCAUUAUGGACAUCCAACUGAUGAAUUUUCCAAUCAUAAGAGACAAUAAUAGUGAGCACAGGCCGAAUCAUUGUGGGCUGAACCACCAGACUAAAUGUCUCUAAAUAAUCAAUCCCCUCUUACUCAGUGAAACCUCGGGUAACCAACCGUGCUUUAUAUCGGUCAACCUAACCAUCAGUAUGUCAUUUAAUCUUAUAAACUUACCUACUGCCAAUCACAUUCAUAGACGAAUGAGAGGGCAUCAACAACCCAGUCUAAUUAUAGUGAAGGGCUCGAAUUUCCUCCUACAUGGCAUUAUGCCAAAUCAAGUACCUAUUGGCAUCCUUAAAUGAAAGUGGCUCAUGUUGAGGUAAAGACACAACUCGGGAGUCAGACGCAACACUCAAGUUGAUGUUUUUAGAUGGACGUGGGCGAAGCACCAUGGAAUGAGUGUGGGCAACCUAAGAUGGAGUUGAAAAAACACUGGCUAGGACUUGCUGAAGAUUGAAUUUAUACAAAUCAAUAUAUAAGUUAAGUCCAGGGGGGAAAUAAAUGAAGAACCUGGUGGUAAUUGAAAUUCUGGCUGGGAGUGAAAUCUCCAGGUUCUGAUAACAAUCCUAGGAGUUUGAAGCCUUUUCCGCUUUCAGAAAUACCACAAAACUUGGUAAGGACAACGUUCGAACUUUCUCGUGAAGACAUACAGAAGCUUCGGAAUAUGAUAAACUCUCAACUUGAUAAGCUUGGAUCUAAAGAGGAAGCAAAUCAAACAAAGCCAAUAUAUUUGUCGACUUACGUGCUUGUAUAUGCAUAUACAAUGGUUUGCAUGCUUGAAGCAAAAGGCGUAAAUAGCAAUGAUAAGAUUAAGAUUGUGAUUCCGGUAGACUGUAGAGCCCGUUUAAACCCUCCAUUACCUAAGAAUUAUAUUGGUAAUUGUGUUAGCUCCUUUGAUGUGGUUGUGGAAAGAGAAGAUCUCAUGAAAGAGAAUGGUGUUGCGUAUGUUGCGAAGAGGCUUACUGAGAUGAUAAAAGGAUUAGAGAAUAGAUCAGUUAUCGAGGGAGCAAAGGAGAGGAUACCAUACACUGAUUGGGAGAAAUUUACUCAAACGGUUCGAGCUGUUGGGACAAACCGAUUUGGGAUGUAUGGGGCAGAUUUUGGAUGGGGGAAGCCAAGCAAUGUGGAGGUUACGACAAUAGCUAGAACUGGUGCCUUUUCUAUUAUGGAGAGCAAAGAUGAAGGUGGUGGAGUUCAAGUUGGUUUAGUGUUGAAGGAGCAUGAGAUGAAACUAUUCGGUUCUCUAUUUACCAGAGUUAAGAUUUCUCAGUCUACAUGUUAGACAGUUGUAAGUGGUUUCUUACCACUUAGUCAAUAAAUCCCUAUUGCUAAGGGAUAUUGUUUCAUUGAAUUAGUCGUACCAUGUUACUCUUUGGUUUCAGUUUAGGCUAUAUAAUAGCCAAGUUUGUUCAAUAGAACAAGAGAUUUCUCCCAGCUGCAUUAUUUAUCUUCUUCAUAAGUUUUUCUGUUCUUAAUAACCAGUGGCCUUAAAAUGUGAACUGUAAUCGUGUAUACCUCUCUAAGACAUGCUUAUACUCUCUUUUUUUCUUCCUCUAAUAUUUAUGCUGUGCUUCAAUUUCUAAGACUUUUGGAGUUAUUAAUGUAAUUUUAUUUGCUGCUUGUUGUGGAAAUCUGAUUAUCUAUUACGUACUAAGAUAAGGUGUUGAAUAUUACAACAUGGCAGGGCAGAAGAUUCACUACAACAUUAACAGUAAAACGGACGGUUAUUUUCCGUCAGUGUAAGAUUACCAUUCUGUCGGUAAAAGUUUCACUACCAGAAAAUCGACGAAAACUAACAGAAUAUUUUCAUCAGUAAAAAUUACCGACGGAAAUAAUUCUGUCUCUACUUCUAUCGGUGUAUAUCGACAGACAAUUUACGUCGGGGAUACCGUCGGUAUAUACCGACCGUAUCGCCGACAUAUUCUAUAGUUUUUUUGAAACGUUGCAAUGGUAUGAUGACGUGGAAUUUUUUCAGACGAUUUUACCGACGGAAUGACCGAGGGAUUCAAAUCGGGAUCGCCGUACAGUGACGUGGCACAGUCACCGACGGACUCACCGACGGGUAUACCGACGGAAACGUUUCGUCGGUGAUUCCAUCGGUAAAAGCCAAUAUAUACCCACUCUGCCAACACUCUAGUCCUCUAUUUCUCCUUCUUCUUCCCCCCCUUUUUCUUCCCCAUCCCAACUCUCCUCUCCCAAACUGCAUCCAACCAUCCAUCCCAACUCUCCCUCUCUUCUUAACACAGUCACUCAAGUUUCUUAUACUUUUGUACGUGGUCACAACAUCUGUUCUCCGAGCAAUUUAUUGUGGAUUUUAUCAUUUUUUUAAUUAAAUCUAUCCUUUCUAGUUUUAACAUUUAAAUGUCAAUUUUAUUAUUUUUUAUUGUUUUUUUAGUAUAUGUAUAUUUUUGUUAACGUAUGUACUUGUUUGAAUGUUAUUUGUCAAAGAAACUUAUAGUAUGAAUGUAUAAUUUUAUAGUUGUUGUAGUUUGUUUUAGAUUUUGUCAAAUUGUAUCUGUUUGUAAAUUGUUGAAGCUUUAUUUGAAUUACACCGAAUUACAUAUGUUUUGAUGAAAUAAAUAAUAGCUUGUUUAACGAGUCCGUUUUAAUUUUUAUCAAUUUUAUUGCUAAGUUGUGAUUUAUAUAUAUAUAUAUAUAUAUAUAUGGACGUUGAUAAUUGAUAAUUGAUAAUGAAUAUUUAACAUAAGGGUUUUUUUAGUUUGUUGGAUAAUGCCAGGGCAAACUAAUAUUUUUGCAAAUUUAUUUACGUAACAUAGUUAAUUAAUACAUGUUGUCGUCAUAAUUUUAUAGAGGUUCGAUAGAAGUCAUGGAUGAUCGUUCAUGGAUGUAUUGGGACUUACCCCAAGGAUUGCGGAAAAUGGAUUAUUGUAACAGGGUUCAGGGUUUUAUUAAUUUCGCAACAUCUAUUCCGAGGAAUUUUACUGAUGGCGGUAUUAGGUGUCCAUGCAGGAAGUGUAAAAAUAAUAAGUUUUUGCAUCAAGAUGUUGUAACGAUGCAUCUUCUAACCAAAAGGUUAAUGGAGGAUUACUUGUGUUGGUAUUCACACGGAGAACUAUUUGUUCCUAAUAAGAGCAUGAUAGAAAGGGUGGUUGGGUCAACUUCUAGUGCUAGCAACGUGCAUGCAAUUGGAAAUGACAACAGUAAUCCUUACAGGAAUAUGGUUAUGGAUGCAAUGAGAAUGCGUGAAGGUAAUGUCAGUGAAUGUUCAAUCAUAGAAGAAGAACCUAAUGCAGAUGCAACAAGGUUUUUUAAUCUGUUGAAAGAUUCUGACGAACCAUUAUGGGAUGGCUGCACGAACCACAGUAAAUUAUCGGGUUGAGUGAGGCCGGUUAUGACAAGAUUAUCGAAUGGGCGAGAAGCAUUUUACACGAAGGGAAUAGGCUGAAAGAGAACUUCUAUGCUGCAAAGUCCAUGAUGAAACCUCUCGGUUUAGGAUACUAGAAAAUUGACAUGUGCCAUAACUUCUGCAUGUUAUACUACCUUGAAAAUGCUGAGCUGAUCGAGUGCAUGACAUGUGGGCAUUCCUGUUACAAACCCAGAACCGGCAGGGGAAAGACUCUCAUGGCAUAUAAAAAACUUAGAUACUUCUCAAUCACACCUAGAUUGCAGAGGUUAUUCAUGUCACCAAGGACUGCUGAGCACAUGACAUGACACCAAUCACAUCAUGCGGUUGAUGGAGUGAUGGUGCAUCCUUCUGAUAGCGAAGCAUGGAAACACUUUAACAGUGUGCAUCCUUACUUUUCAGCUGAAUCAAGAAACGUGCAUCUUGGGUUGUAUAUAAAUGAAUUCAACCCAUUCGGGUCAUUUGCUGCUCCUUAUUCUUGUUGGCCGGUCAAACUAACGGUUUAUAACUUGCCACCGGGGAUGUGUAUGAGGCGGAGUUCAUGUUUUUAUCUAUGGUCAUACCAGGUCCGAGCUGGGCACUGUUGGUAAGUUAUAAACAUUCUUGUAGUGGAAAAAAAUACCAACCGGAGUUCUCGUUGGUAAGUCUGUUGGUUUUAGUUGAAUUUCUAAUAGUGAUUUUUCCAUGCCGAUCUCUCCAUCAUGUCCAUGAAGAAACAUUCUUGUUAUCUUACUCUCUAGUUAUAAGAAAUUAUAAACCGUGUUUUUUUCACUUAGCUGAGCAUUGUUUACACACUCACUAAACAUUGAACAUUGUGGAUUUGCUGUUCUUUUUCUAAUAAUUCAUUUUGGUCCUCAAAAUUUUAUUUUGUGCGAUUUGAUCCUAAUUGAAAACUAAUUGCUUAUGAUUUCUUAGUCAAAAGGUAAAUUAAAAGAAUAAGAACUAAAAUGAAAAAGACCCCAAGUAUGAAUGGCGUACCAGAGAUGCUAUGCAAAAUAUACUCCGGUCCUCGAUCUUUAAAAAUAACACAAUUCAUACAAUUUAGAUACCUUAAAAUUUUAAAAAAAUCACUUUCGGUACACAAGUUCAUUUGUAUUAUUUUUUAGUCUUUGUUUAGAGAGAGGAGAGAGAGAGAGAGGUGUUGCUAGAUUCUUACAAUUUAGAUGCCUUAAAAAUUUUAAAAAUCACUUUCGGUACACAAGUUUAUUUGUAUUAUUUUUUAGUCUUUGUUUAGAGAGAGGAGAGAGAGAGAGGUGUCGCUUGAUUCCAGUGAGCAGAGAGAAAGUAACCAUUCACUCCAUUUCCAGCCAUCAAAAUGAGUUUUAUUAGUGUCCACGAGUUUGUAAACACUUGGUCAAAUUUUUUUAAUUAGUAAUUUAUUAAAAAGAAAUUAUGAAAAUUAAUGAAAUUAAAAAUAUUUUUUUGAUAAGAAAAUUUAAAAAGAAAGAUAAAUGAACUGAGGUUGUUUGUUCUUGUUGUGAUCCUGUUAUAUUUAUGAUUGUCUUGUUUAUUUGCCAUGAGCGUUGUUAUUGUGUGAAUUUAAUCAAUGCUUGGUGUGUUGUUGUAGAGGUGAUCAUUUUCAGUUCGGUUCGGUUUUUAUCAAAAAAAAAGUAACCAAAAUUGGUUUUUUUUGAAAAAAAACCGAAACCGGUUCAAACCGACCGGUUUUGGUUUGGUUCGGUUAUUUUGGGGAAAAAACCAGUUCAAACCGGUUUGACUCAGUUUUUUCCGGUUUGGCUUGGUUUUUUUCCGGUUUGGUUUGGUUUGGUUUUUUCGGUUUCAGGCUUAUAAAUCCGAAACCGAACCGAACUGGUCGGUUUUUUCAAAAUUCUAAUUGGUUUUUUUUCACGGUUCGGUUUUUUUAGUUAUUGCAAGUCCUUAUCUAAAAAUAAAAUUCUCUUUAUGUCUCCUUUAUCUUAUAGUCAAAUCUAAAAUAAAAAAAGAAUCCACCAAUAGUUCUAGUGUGCGUCCUAAACUUUAUUAGAUUUUUCUUAUCAUAUUUUGUUUAAUAAAAUUCCUUGAUGGUGAUGAUCGAGAGGAUGAUAUUUUGGAUGCAUUUGUGUCAAAUUUUUAUCUAUAUAUUUGAUUUAUCUACAUGCACCAUCAAGUUCUUAGCCCGCCAUUUCCCAGGGAUAAUAUUUAUUUAUUUAUCUUUGUUUAUUUUUAUAUUAAUAUAAACACACAUAUUAGUUUAGGCAACAUAAUAUAAAGCACAAAAACCAUCCACUAGAGUAAUUUUUAUAUUUAUUUUGACAUAACUAUUUCUUAUCUUAAAAUCGAUGUGAGACCAGUUUUAGUUUUAGGGUGUUCUAAUUACCUUUCAAUCUAGAUGGUGACUUUUUUUUUAAUCUUUUAUUUCUUUUACCUUUUCUCCCCUUUCGAACACCAAAAUGUCCCUUGUGAUUUUAGGAUUUAUUGUACAAAACUCAUUAAGGUUAGCUAGACUUAUACCUAGAGUAAUUUUUAUCUUUCGUUAGACAUAAUCAUUUUUUUAUUUUAGAAUCGAUGCAAGACCAGUUUUAGGGUAUUCUAGUUACCUUUAGUUUAUAGUGACUUUUUUUUAAAAAAAAAUUUCUUUUACCUUUUCUUCUCUUUGGAACACCAAAAUGUCCUUUGUGAUUUUAGGAUUCACUGUACAAAAUUCAUUAGGGUUAGCUAGACUUAUACCUAUGUAAAAAAACAUGUAUAUAGAAUUCAAUAUAAAUAAAUAUUAAAAAUUUUCAUGAAUUCAAUAUAAAUAAAUAUUUUUUCUCUAUUAAAUUAUUCUUUUUUCAUAUUUUAUUAUGAUAUCAAAGCCUAUUGCAAAACUGGCAACAUGGCCACCCUAGAAAACAUGUCUUCUUCACAAACCUCUUCAACAUCCUAACCCAAGACAACACAACCCUCGAAGUCGCUAAUUGUUCUUCCGCGUAAUGCUACCAAUUCUACCCUACAAGCAAUUAGUAACAACUUUAUUCAACAUGCCUGUCAUUACCUUUCUAUAAAAUUUAUGAACAACAAUUAUAUUUUUUGGAGCACAUAAUUUCAUCCUUCAUGUAUUCCUCCUUUUUUUUACAUGGCUUUUUAGAUGGCAAUCAUCCAUGCCUUGUUGAAACUAUUAUCAAUGACAACAUCAUGAUUGUCAACCAAGCCUAUAUUAUAUGGGUGCAACAAGAUGAACUCCAUAUGACAUUGAUUGCCUUACUAUCUAUUGAGGUAUUUUUUUUUAUUAUUAUUGGUUGUACUUCAUCUCAUACCAUUCAGACCACUUUAGCAUCGGUAUUGGCCUCUCCCUUCAUGAUACAAAUCAUGUCUAUCCUUACUUUUUGUUCAUCAGUCUUUUAUAGAUAAUGAUAUGUUUUUUGAAUUCUAUGGUAAUUAUUUUCUUAUCAAAUAUUGUAUUUCCAAGACUAUAGUUUUUUCCCAUAGUGUUAAAGGUGGUCUUUAUCUUCUUCAUGCUUCAUCUUAUCUACCAGUACUCUUGCCUUUUAUGUGGUUAGUGUGUCAUCUGAACCCUUGCACCAUUGACUUAUCCAUCCUCACUCUCAUAUGCUACAUCAUAUAGUUUCCCUUAAAAAGUUUAUAAUCUUGCCAUUUAGGUAAACUAGCAAAUUAUCAUCAAGUUCUUCUAAACAUAUAAGCACUACUCAUUUGGAUUUGUUAUUUAGUGAUGUUUAGGCCUUUUUCAUUUACCCUUGAUACAUAAGUAGAGUUACUUUGUUAUUUUUGUUAAUCAUUUUAAUAAAUUUAUUUUAUUUUAUCCAAUGUGUGUCAAAUAAUAAAUAUAUGAUAUUUUUAUUUAGUCUUAAAAACUUGUUGAAAACAAAUUUCUUUCUUGUACUAGAAGCUUGCAAACUAAGACUGCCAACUCAACACGGACAAGGCAUCACCUUCAAUCAUUAAAAUCACUCACUGAUUUUCGAUGUCCACAGCAUAGUAGAAUCUUUAUAUACCUUUCAAACGUAGUUUUGUUUUCAACCAUUCAAUAACAUACCAAAUAUUCUACGAUUCAAAACCUAACCAAACAUUCAAAUACAUAUGAAAAACAAAUCAAUGCCCUUAACAGUCAUCACCCUUCUACGAAAAAUAAAAUAAAAAUUAUAAGUCUUUUAUACCAGUGGGUAAUCCCACUUUCUAUUCUUUUUCGACGUUUAAAAUUAUUUUUUAAUCAACUUAUAUUUUCAUCUUUUAAUUCAACCAAUUAUGCAUUAUUAAUAUAAAUAUAAUUUAAAUUAGUUUGUACGUGUGUGUGUUUUACCUAUUCAUCUUUUCUCAUUUAAUAAAUGCUGAGAAAUUUUAAUUUAGAAGAGGUUAAUUAUCUUACAAAUUAAAAACUCGUAUUAUUACAUGCAUGCAUUAUAGAAAAAGCAAAAGAAUGGAAAACUAAAAAAAGAAGAAGCAGCGUAAUUUAACGUGUCCAUGAGACAAAACUUUUAACAAGAUUGAAUAAUUUUUCUGUUUUUCUGUUUUUAUUUUUUAUUUUUUUUAAUUAUGUAAAAGAAAAUAGAACUUUAACUCAAAAAAAUAUUAAAAUUUUGUAUUUAUCGUAAAAUCUUUUCUUUUUAUGUAACAGAAAUUUUUAGUUAUGCAAGUUCACAUUCUAAUGAAUUUCGUUUAUUUAAUUAUUAAAUAAUGGAUCUUCCAAUGAAAAAAAAAAGGCAAAGGAAAAAACAUGGUUAAAUUUUAGAGUACUCCUAGAUCUACUCAAUGUGUCCAUUUUAAGGAGAUAGACAAAUACAAAAAUGAAAAAAAAAUCAAAUCCAAACUUAUAAGAAAUAAUAAGAAAAAUUUCAUUUAGCCUCCAAAAUAUUUUUUUUCUACAAAAUCCUCAUAAAAACGCAUGUGAAAGUUACUUUUUUUAGAAGACCAAUAAUUUAAAUUUUGGAUAUACAACAAGUUAUUGAGAUAUUCUCAAUUUUGCACACACUAUUUUUGCAUAAUCUUACCAUUAAACUAUUUUGAUCUAUUCUCACAAAAAAAUAGAAUUUUGAUGAAAACAUGAACGAAAGGCUUUAAAAAAUGCACUUUCAGGUUUACAAACAUUGAGGUUACGAGAACAAUAAUGUCGGCCUUUAAAUCAUGGAUGAAAAUUUUAUUAUUUUAAUGGAGCGAGAUUUUCAAAUAUCCUGAAUGAAAACCAUAGGUCGAUGCAUGGUUUUCAAGGUUUAAGGUUAGUAUUAACUUAAAUGUUUUUUAUUAUUAUGUUAAUUCAGUUAAUUUAUUGAAAUUACAAAAAUUUUUCUUUUAUAAAUUUCUGCUGCAAGGGAAAAUUUGAAUGGGAGAGAACUAAUAAUAAUGUUGUGAGGAUGGUUUGGGAAAAUCACACUGCAACUAGGUAAGAUCGAAAUCAGGAUAAUUUUUUUUUAAAAUAUUAAAAUUUUAUUUUUUAUUUACUAACAGAUAAUUCAUUUGUAUCAUAUAGGUUGCGUGAUUUUUGGUACGAGACGCAAAAGAAAGCCCAAAAAUAUACGAAAUAAAAGGAGUUUCCAGACUGAAAUGACGUGGUACUUUGAAGGAUUUCAGACCGCCAUACAUCUUCGAGGUUGUAUGGAUGGAAUACAUUUAGCACGUGAUGUCUGCGCAUUUCACGCGACGGUCACAAUUCAGUGCAGAGAAUCAGAACCAGCAUGUUCGCGAUUCCAUUAUCACGUACACCAGUGACUCCAUUCUAUUCAUUUCCCAUGUGAAGCAGAUGGUAAGACUUUUUUUAUUACAUCCAUUUUUUUUAAUUUUUUUUGUAUUUUAUAAAUACAUUUAACUAACAACAUUUUUAUCUUGCAGGCUAGGUUCUUGGACGCAAGUCAAGCUCGAUGGAUUUUUUGUUGAAAUACACAUGUGGAGUGAUGAUUGCCAAAAAUAGGUUCAACAGUUCGUAGAUAUAUAGCCGAGCUUAACAAUUUAUGGUAUGUUGGUUUUCAACAAGCUUUUUCUCUCCAACACACACAUAUUCUAAAAGUUUAGGGAUUGUUUAAAUUUGUUAUUAUAGCCUAAAACUAAAGUUGCAAAGAACCACAAUGACCCUUGAUUAAAAACAAAAUAGACUAAAAGAUGAAAAGAAAAAUCAUAAAUUUAUUAUUUAAACUCUAUCUAUAUAUUGAUUUUCCUCCUUAACAAAGAUAAGAUAUUUUGUUUCAUAUGUAGUUUGUUCGGGGUUCUAUAAAAGGCAUGUUAAGAAGGUGUUCGAUUUCCGAACUUGUUCUGUUCUCUCUUUAUAUCCAUCUCUCCUUUGUUUAGGUGUCAUGGCAUCAACCAAGCCAGUAAACGUUCUCGAGGUUUGCCAUGUUAGUCCGUCUUCUACCUCACCCGAGUCAAGCACCGAGCUAUAUCUGCCUCUAAUCUUCUCUGAUAUCUUCAACCUCAAAUUCCCUCCGGUUCAAGGCAUCUUUUUCUAUAAACUCACUGAGUUAACCCCUACUUUCUUUAACUUGGUAAUUCUUCCCAAGGUCAAGCACUCACUCUCUUUAACUCUUUCCCACUUCCGUCCUCUUGCCGGUAACCUCACAUGGCCUCCAAAUUCCAUCAAACCCGUCAUUACGUACAAUACUCCAGAUGAUGGUAUUAAACUUACAGUUGCCGAGUCCAGUGCAGACUUUGACCAUCUCUGUAGUGAAGUGCAUGAUGCUAUUGAGUCACAUCAUUAUGUGCCAAAUGUAUCAAUAUCUGAUACUAUAGCCUCUACACUUGCUAUUCAGAUCACUUUAUUUCCAAAUAAAGGUUUUUGCAUCGGCCACACCACUAACCAUGCUGUUCUUGAUGGCUUGAGCGUAUCCUUUUUCAUGAAUGCAUGGGCUCGCAUUUGCAGACAGUUAGUCGAUGAAAAAAUGGAAAUCCCUAGCUUGUUACCGGAAGAACUAACCCCGUUUUUCAAUCGAACAGUUGUUCAGGAUCCUGAAGGGCUAGACAUGUGGUACUUGAAUUUCUGGCUGGGAGUAAAACUUCCAGGUUCCGAUGACAAUACUAGAAGUUUGAAGCCUUUUCCAUUUCCAGAAACUCCACCAAACCUGGUAAGAACAACGUUCGAACUCUCUCGUGAAGAUAUACAGCAGCUUCGGGAAACGGUAAAGUCUCAACUGGAUAAUUUUGGAUCCAAAGAGGAAACAAAUCAAACAAAGCCAAUAUAUUUGUCGACUUAUGUGCUUGUAUAUGCAUAUACGUUGGUUUGCAUGCUUGAAGCAAAAGGAUUAAAUAGCAAUGAUAAGAUUAAAAUCUUGAUUACCGUAGACUGUAGACCCCGUUUAAACCCUCCAUUACCUAAGAAUUAUAUUGGUAAUUGUGUUAGCUCCUUUGAUGUGGUUGUGGAAGGAGAAGAUCUAAUGAAAGAGAAUGGGGUUGCGUAUGUUGCGAAGAGGCU
rnacentral:lncRNA from 1 species